GGAACCCAGAACACAUCCCCGCUUUCUCCGAUGCCCCUGUUACAUAUGUCCCACACCAGGACGGGAAGGCCCAAGCCCAGUGGUUGCCUUUUGCCUACCAGGCGACCAAGGAAUUGUGCAAGUCCCUGAAGGAGUUCAACCGGGACUCCGAGUACUUUAGGGGGCUCCUGAGGGCCACAUUGUCUAACAAUGACUUAACACCUGCUGACCUCUGGCAGCUCUUGUCAUGUCUCCUGUCUUCCACCAAGUUCCUGCUAUGGGAAUCAGCAUGGAAGAAGGAAAUUCGGGCUUUGCUGCUGGCAUUGUGGGUGGACCCCUGAACAGCGGCAGAUGAUCAAGUUGAGACUGACAGAUCCUUUCCACCUCAGGGACAGUGAGUGGCACUUUGUGUCCGUAAACCGCGAAACACUGGGAACUUGGAUGACCAUCCACAGUAUCACCCCGGCUGCUUCCUGGAAAAUGGCACCUGGGACUGUGAGGAGGAAGUGACGUCAGAGUUUGUAGGCGAAUGUAGAAACAUUUGGCCAAAUCCAGCCAAGAAAACCCCUAAAACAACGAGCCACCACAGAAUUAAACAAUCUAAGUGACUUCUAAGAGUAAGCAACUGAAAUCCAGUGUCUGCUGAGACCUUUUAACCUCUCACUCUAACGCAAGGGAUGUCAGCUAGAAAGAGAACCUCAAAUGUCAAACCAAAGGGUGGAAUCUCCUGCUUCUUCACAUGAGGACGGAAGCCACGGCUUUGCCUGCACUCCAGCGGACAAAGCUGCACACCUCUUCCUCCGUGCCACUCCUGGGAGCAGCAGUGGUGUGCACGCAACCCAUUGGGCCCCCACCCAAGCUGAUCCUAAUAAAGGCUUUAA